rnacentral:tRNA from 1 species
UGCCGGGAUAGCUCAGUUGGUUAGAGCAUGGGAUUGAAAAUCCCAGUGUCACCAGUUCGACUCUGGUUCCUGGCAA